rnacentral:rRNA from 1 species
GGGUCCGCACAAGCGGUGGAGCAUGUGGUUUAAUUCGAUGAUACGCGAGGAACCUUACCUGGGCUCGAACACUAUUAGACGAUACCUGAAAGGGUAUUUCUCUUCGGAGCUGGUAGUGAGGUGCUGCAUGGUUGUCGUCAGCUCGUGCCGUGAGUGUUGGGUUAAGUCCCGCAACGAGCGCAACCCCCUAUCUUCAGUUGCCAACAGUUAGGCUGGGGACUCUGGAGAGACUGCCUCCGUAAGGAGUGAGGAAGGAAGGGACGACGUCAAAUCAUCAUGGCCUUUAUGCCCAGGGCUACACACGUGCUACAAAUGGGGCGUACAAAGGGUUGCAAUCCCAGCGAGGGGGAGCUAA